rnacentral:rRNA from 1 species
GAUGAACGCUAGCGGCAGGCCUAAUACAUGCAAGUCGAACGGGCUUAUGUUUUUCGGAAUAUGAGUUAGUGGCGCACGGGUGAGUAACACGUACAUAACCUACCUUCAAGAGGGGGAUAGCCUUGGGAAACUGAGAGUAAUACCCCAUAGUAUCAAGUUGCGGCAUCGUGAGUUGAUUAAAGCUGAGGUGCUUGAAGAUGGAUGUGCGUCUGAUUAGCUAGUUGGUGAGGUAACGGCUCACCAAGGCGACGAUCAGUAGGGGGCGUGAGAGCGUGGCCCCCCACACGGGUACUGAGACACGGACCCGACUCCUACGGGAGGCAGCAGUAAGGAAUAUUGGUCAAUGGAGGGAACUCUGAACCAGCCAUGCCGCGUGAAGGAUGACGGCCCUCUGGGUUGUAAACUUCUUUUGGAUGGGGCGAAAAAACGGGAUUUAUCCUGGACUGACGGUACCAUCAGAAUAAGCACCGGCUAACUCCGUG